rnacentral:tRNA from 1 species
GGAGUUGUGGCUCAGUGGUAGAGUGCUUGCCUAACAUGUGAGAGGCCCUGGGUUCCAAAUAAAUAAGUAAAAUAAAGCUUUAAAAAAAAAAAAGAAAUACAAAAGGUAUUUUGAAAUUGAAAAUGAAAAGAGAGGGGCUGGGGCUGGGGCUGAGCGGUAGCACACUUGCCUGGCAUGUGUGAAGCACUGGGUUCGAUUCUCAGCACCG